AGGGCACAAGCUCCACACAUUUACAUGCCAACCCUGCAGGUGCACAGUGGCAGGGCAGGAAGCUCUGAGACCCCAAGCAAGAUUUCAGAAAGUCUUUCUUUCCAACUGCAAAAAUAAAUAGGCCUCUAACUCCAGGCACUAAAGGGGUUUGUUGAGUAGUAUUUACACCUGUGGAGAGAGUGGAAGGUGGCACCUGAGAAGUUCAGAGUUUUUCUCUCUGACUCUAACUUGCUUCCCACUAUUCUUGCAGUGCCUUCACUCAGGCCAGAGACCCCAGAGUGUUUUGCUCAAGCUGGGUAAAUAACCCCAGGAAAUGGGAAACUCUAACUUUAAAGAGCUUACUUAAAACGGGCAAGUGCCAGUGUUGGCUGUCUUGAGCCCCUCCAUUCAGAGGAAACUGCCUUGGAGCGGGAGAAACACUAGCCUUGGGCCUUGCAGUGCUGGGCUCUGCUGGAUGGCCUUGGACAAGUCGCCAAAACUCUCUGAGCACUUCUCCCCUUCCAUGAGAUGAAGGUGGCACCACUGCAGGCAGAUACUCUCAUAAGAAUCAAUGGGAAGAAGCCAUUAAGAAGCUAAUUAUUAACCCAGGGCGAGCCUGGUGGCGCAGCAGUUAAGUUCGCACGUUCUGCUUCGGGGGCGCAGGGUUCACCGGUUCAGAUCCCAGAUGUGGACAUGGCACCGCUUGGCAAGCCAUGCUGUGGAAAGUCAUUACCAUACUGUGGCAUCCAACACAGAAUUUGAAGCAAGACGCUCAAGCUAAGGGCCCAGGAAAGACCAGGCAGAGCCUUAGAUUCCGGGAAGCUUGGAGUGAAUUUCAAUAUUGAUCUUCAACAACCACCUUGUCACAGAAACCUGGCAGAAUUUUGCUUCUCUCUUUUCUCUGUCCCUUUUUAACCUUAUUUGUCACCCUUCCAUUUCAAACUCUAUUUUUUAUUUGUAGUGUA
rnacentral:lncRNA from 1 species